rnacentral:lncRNA from 1 species
AAAACAAGACACUUUGAAGCCUGCCAGGAGCUGGAAGUCUGGCCUCCUGGAGGACCAAUGCUUUAAAGGUCUUUGUGAGGCUUCCUCCUCAAAUAUAUGGUUGGUUGGUUUGAACAAAGAUAGGGAGACUGGUAGGCCUGCAGUUUUAGGGACUCAAGCUGCCCUUAAGUCUUUGAACUGGAGGCAGGGUAGGGGCAGUCUCUGCAAGGAGAAAAGACCUGGGCUUUAAACCUAUGUCUUCAGACAGGAGUGUGAGGGAGAAACCGGAAGCUUGCUGUCUUCAUUAUCUAUCUAGGCCUGGCCCCUCUUUUUAUCUGUUUGCCUAUCAGGGAUCCAUCUAGCUUCUAGUCCCCCCCCUCCCCAAGAGUAGAUAAUGAGCACGGAGACCAUUGUGCUAAUCUAGAUUUUAGACAGGAUUUAUGCUAUCUCAAAAGCCUCUAGAAUAGAUAACGUCCCCUGAGGAGGGGUGAAGUGGAAAGUCAGUUGGAUGGUUUUUCUGGGGCAAACAUGUGAGGGAACAUUUCGUUAAAGUAGACAGAGGUGUGAAAGGCUAAGUAAGGCAGGCUUGUGAAGGAAGGUUUCCCUGAAGCAGACACAGGAGAGAGGAUGUUCUGCUAAAGUAAGCACUUGAAAGGACACGUGAUGAAGGAUUCUUUGCUAACAGCAGCAGCAGCAGCAGCAGCAGCAACAGCAACAACAACAACAACAACAACAACAACAACAACGCAUGUGUUGGUCCAUCUUACAUUGUGUAGUUGAGCACAAACAGUUGUUGCUGUUUCCAAGGACUUGCACUGAUUGGAGGCCCAUACUGAGGCAAGGCACAUGGCAGACAUGUGAUGUCUGGAGGAUAUAAAUAGGACUCCAUGGAGACAGCACUUGGUUCUCUGAUACACAGCUGGCUGUGCAACGCUUGUGAGUCUCAAGUCUUCUCUGAUCUUUGCUUCCCUGAGAGAGGCACAGUGGAGAACUUCUCCAGGUGUUUCUGUGGUUCCCUCCUUCUGACUCCUCUCUGUGAGGUUUAGUCAUCUCUGUUGCUAACCUGACUCUAACGAACUGCUGGUGUCUCCAUGAAGUGUUUGGGAGUAAAUGGAGCUGCUGCUGCCUGCUAACCUGUGAACUGAACUGCUGAUUUCCAGGCAAUACAGAUGGGAGUUGCUCCACAGAACCUUUCUAAACAAAUCCAUUUCCCCAUAUCCUUUCCUUCCCACUACCUCUGGUGACUGGUGGGCUACAAGGAAGGUUAAAGUUUUUUAAGAACCAUCAUUAAAGAUAGGUCUUACCAGGACAGCCAGGGCUACACAGAGAAACCCUGUCUCAAAAAAAUAAAAAUAAAAAUAAAAAAAUAAAAAUAGAAUUAAAAAAAAUUAAAGUCACAGAGGGGCAUUUUCCUGUCCAGGUGAUUGAGUUGAGAGACCCUUUGGAUUGACUCUUAACAGAAAGGACAAUGGAAUGACCUUGCUCUUUUCCAAAAACAAAAAUGACUCCAGCUAGGACUUCAGGGAAAUUCAGAAUGUUUCCAGCCAGGGACUGAUUACAGCUAAAUUCCUGGGGUGUUGUUUGUUGGUUGGUUGGUUGGUUUUGUUUUGUUUAAAGUUAGAGUGGCCGGGCGUGGUGGCACACGCCUUUAAUCCCAGCACUCGGGAGGCAGAGGCAGGUGGAUUUCUGAGUUCGAGGCCAGCCUGGUCUACAAAGUGAGUUCCAGGAUAGCCAGGGCUAUACAGAGAAUCCCUGUCUUGAAAAACCAAAUAAAUAAAUAAAUAAAUAAAUAAAGUUAGAGUGGAGCCUUGGCUUCACAUUAGCUCUGUCUUUCUCAUAUACUGACAGACACCCUGCUAGGACAUUAAAGACAGGAUUUCUCACUGUGGAAGUAGAGUUUACAUCCAAGGAUUUUGUUUGUAUGUGUGUUUGUUUGUUCUUAAAGCAGGAUCUCACGUAUGUAGCUCUGGCUGGACUGGAGCUCACAAAUAUAGAACAGGCUGGUCUCAAACUCCUAGAGAUCCACCUGUCUCUGCUUCCCCAGCGAAGGGAUUAAAGGUGUGCACCACCACAAGGGUGGUGGGUAUUGAUGGUAAUGAGGAAAUUGAUGCCACAAACCUUCAGUUCCCCACCUAAUCCCAGCCUACUGCCUGGGGAUUAGAGACCUAGCUGUAGGCUUUUUCUGUGAAACUCCCUCUGUCCUCAAAAGGACAGGCUCUUCUCAUCAGCCCAGUGUACUUUGAGUCCCUUCAGAGACCUCACCAUGGUGUCUGUCUCUGGUGCUAGGACCUAAAUUCUCCUUGGAGCCUGCUGCUCAAUGUUGCUUCUCUAUCUGUCCAUCCGUGUUAGGGUCCCAGGGGCAGUCUCGGAGCAGAGCGCUCUCUCUCUCUCUCUCUCUCUCUCUCUCUCUCUCUCUCUCUCUUUCUCUCUCUCUUCCUCUCUCUCUCUCUCUCUCUCUCUCUCUCUCUCUCCUCCCUCUUCCCUCCCUCCCCCAUCUCCUCAAUAUGGCCAUGCUGAAUAAGUCCUUUUCCGCUUUUUAACUAUUAAUUUGGCUCAAUUAAACUGGCUUGUGGAGGCACUUCCUGUGAUUACGAAGUCUAAUAACAAUGACAGCUUGAGAGGUGUGGGCUACAUAGAGUAGUCUGUGAUAGCCUGGGGCAUGGCAUAAGAUCCUGUCUCAAAAAGAUCCUGAGUUCAAAUCCCAGCAACCUCAUGGUGGCUCACAACCAUCUGUAAUGGGAUCUGAUACCCUCUUCUGAAGGCAGCUACAGUGUACCCCGAUAUAUAGAAUAAAAAUUUUAAAAAGAUACAGAAUUUGGUGUUUCUUAUGUAAUUUGGGGAGAGGGGUCAGGACAGUAUUUAUCUAUGUAGCUCUCGCUGUCUUGGAACUCACUCUGUAGGCAGGCUGGCCUCAAACUCAUAGAGAUCUGCCUGCCUUAGCAUCCCAAGUGUUGGAAUUAAAGGUGUGCACCACCACUGCCUAGCUGGACACCAUUUUUGGUCAUACUAAGCACAAUGUUAUACAAGUAGAAAGAUUAGAAGGCAGACAGGAAGCCGAGCAUGGUGGCGCAUGCCUUUAAACCCAGCCCUUGGGAGGCAGAGGCAGGCAGAUUUCUGAGUUCGAGGCCAGCCUGGUCUACAGAGUGAGUUCCAGGACAGCCAGGGCUACACGGAGAAACCCUGUCUGGAGAAAACAAAACAAACAAACAAAAAGGCAGACAGGAACACCAUACCUUUAGCAUGGAUUUUUCUCUAUAAAAUAUUAGAUAAAUUUUUUAAAAAAGGAGCACUUUGAAAAUACAGUUAAAAUACUGAACCUAAAAGUGCCCACCUCACUUAGCAGCCAUCAAAUGGAGAGCUAAAGAGGCAGGGGAGGAGUUGAUAGCAAGGUGGGGAAACGUAACUGACUUAAGGUCCGGCUCUGUGGGGAGGGAAGGAGAACCUGAAUCUGGACUCCUCUCCAUCUUUACAGCAGGGAAGACGUGGUUUGUUCAAUCCCCAGAGGUUUCUCCCGCAUUAAGAUGCUCCUGGAUAUAACCAGAACACCACCGGGCUGCAAGAGGACUAUCUGUCAGGCAAUUAUUGAGUAUUUUCCGAAAGUGAUGCUGCCAUGCAAAAUGUUUUAAAAUAAAUUGAAUGUACUCUUCCAUUUGGAGAUGAGGAGACACAUAUCACUUGGUUUUAUUUAAUAAUGAUUUAGAUGAUGGCAAGAAAAAGAAAGUAAAUUCAAAUUAGAUUAUUGACUCUCAUGAUCAUAAAACAGGAGUCCAACAAGAAUAGCCAACAGAGACUUGUCUACCUGAAUGUGUCUCAAUUGUUUUAAAAUUACAUGAAAAAUGCAUACCAGCAACGAUCUGGGAUGAAUGGACACGCUGGCAUUGUUAUUUAUGAAGUCCUUGUAGGAUCCAGAACUUCCCAGUGAACCAUCGUGAAGUCAUUUUUCUCCAGUGAUGCUGGAGGAUGAUGUAAUGGAAUCUUCCGCACCGCUCUAAUCCCUGCCCAUUAGUGCUGCACCCUAGAUGGAUGCUUUCCAGGCAGCACAUAGAACUUACUAAUAAUAACUCAAUAUCCAUUGAGUAUCCUGUAGCAAUAAUGAAAGUAGACCCAAAACUAAACCUACAUAUAUUUGCAUGACCCAUCUAUUAUCUUAUUCAAGUUCUCAUAUUGAAGUAUGGGUGUUUUUAAUGUGGAAGCUCUAUUUAUACUAUAGGUGGAAGAUUAAGUGAAAGGGACACUUUAUCAUCUGCUGAAGUUUAUCUCAGGCAAGAGAUUCAAAAUAAAAAUUUCUGCAUAUUCCCAACAUAAUAUUCCCAUCUCUGCCUAUUGUUAUAGCUUCUCUUUUCUGGAUUGAAACAUCUACUCCUAGAGCCAGGUCUCUUAAGUCUCAGAAAGUAAACUAACAAGUCUCAGGAAGUUCCUGAAGCUUACACGAGCACAAGGAUCCUCCCCAAGGCUAUACAAGUUGUAACAAUUAUGAGAGGAGACUCUAGUCGGUCAUACUGACUACAGAGAGUGCCAGGGAUGCAGCCUUUGUGAAUCUUCCUUCACUCAUGCUGGGGUGAACUUUGUGGGGAUACAGAUCUCUUUGAGUCAUAUGUAACACUGUAACUUCUUACCCACACUUCUGUAAAUGACCCCAAUAAGGUCACUGUUUCACUUAGAUAAAUCUGUAUAGAAUUGUUUAUUUGGUCUGUGAUCUCAGUUCUAUCUGGGAUGAACAGACACUUGUUUAUCUAUUUCCAGAAGUCAUACAACCAACACGGGACAACAUGAAUGCUAUUACUCCCCAAUAUAGCCAUCCCUUACUGUAUCUGAAUCAUAUAUUUGCCUCGGUAGGAUAGACAGUUAAUUCAUUUUGACAAGAGUAAACAUAUUUAUUUGAAUCAUAAGUAAAUAAAAGUCACUCUUGAAAUUUUGUCUAUGCUGAACUUGGAGUUCUGAAGCUUCCAGGGUGCUAGAACUACAGGCAUGCACCACCUUGCCUACCUUUAUCUUACAUUCCUAAAUUGUACUCAUCCGUGUGAACAAUUCAUAUAGAUCUGCCUCUAAGAUAGAAACAGGGGCUCAAGAAAUGCCUCCAUGGCUAAGAUCACUGGCUGCUCUUCCAGAGAACCAGCAUCCACAAAGCAGUUUGCAGGCAUAUGUAAUUCCUAGGUGAUUUUAUGCUCCCUUCUGUCCUCCAAGGCUACUGCAUGCUCACAGUGCACUGA